UGAUUGUAAAAGAAACCUAGCAGUGACGCAGACAACUGAGCGAUACGAGCUCCCAUUCUAACGCUGUCAUGUGGAGUCUAGAAGUGUAAUGGGGAGAUGUGGAAAGUCUAUUGAUACAUUUCAUCAUGCCGGAUUGUUCUCCGAGAUUGUCCGAAUCGGAAGACACGAGUGUGACACUAUGCAUAAGAAGAAGGUGUUCCGUAUGGCGCCCUUAGCGACAUCCAGCUGAGUUCACAGGGACAGACUAGGUAUGCAUAUGUAAGCCGUGGAUCAGUAACCUCUGAUGGAAGUUAUCACCCAGUGGCCCACGCACCACAGCAAAGUAAAGCAAUCGUCAUUCGUCAGUUGGUCACAUGGAUUAUCGCUGACGACGACAAAACAUCCGCGCGGUAUCGCGUAUCAUUCUGAUUGUUUAGGCUAGGAGGCAAUAUCGUUUUGUUUAUUGUGAGGUUUGAUGAAAGUAAAAUAAAGAAUGUCCAGGCAGUUCAUUUCUGACCGUGAUCGAGAGUAGACUUUUUUUAAAAAAGCCGAACCGUCCGUCGAAGACUUAACUGGCGCCCGAAUCUGGGACCUGAUAGUAAUUGUAUAAGUUCAGUCGAACGAAGCCACCUUCAGCUGCCUCCAAGAGAGAAUUCGUCAUCCCGGACCCAGAGCCAUCAUCAAUCAAGUUGGUGAUUUGAGGAGACGGAGCGCGAAGAGGUGCACUACCAGGAUACCCAACCCCGGAAAUAGGACCAUCCAGGACUGAGGCGUUGUCCCGCAGUACAAACCGUACUUCCUGAGCUUCAAAGGACUUUCCAGGACCUAGGCGUUGUCCCGCAGCAUGCGAUUGUGCUUCCUGAUUCUCUUAAUCCCACACAUACUUUGUAACAACAUCGAAAUUCACAACGUUAGCAACGAUCCAGUAGUCAUAGUGAAGAUAGGAGAAGCAAGAAUCAUAGAAGGAUACCAGAAAUUCGUACAUGCCAUCAACAUAACGGACAUAGAACAGUCAAUAUCGCAGAUAGAAAGUCACAUAUCCACAGUAAACAUCAGCCAUCCAGAACUAAUCACACUACUGAAACGAAAGACAGACGACCUAAGAAAUAAUAUAAAACAACUCAAACCAAGACGAAAACAAAAACGUUGGGACGCGCUAGGACGAGCAUGGAAAUGGAUGUCUGGUUCACCUGACGCUGACGACCUUAGAAUAAUUACAAAAGGCAUAAACGAAAUGGUCGACAAUAGUAACAAACAAAUCAAAAUUAACGACCAAGUUUUUGAUAGUUUAGGAAACCUCACAGAAA